AUUGAACGCUGGCGGAAUGCUUUACACAUGCAAGUCGGGCGGCAGCGCGGGGGCAACCCUGGCGGCGAGCGGCGAACGGGUGAGUAAUACAUCGGAACGUGUCCUUGAGUGGGGGAUAGCUCGGCGAAAGCCGGAUUAAUACCGCAUAAGCUCUGAGGAGGAAAGCGGGGGACUGGUAACGGCCUCGCGCUGUUGGAGCGGCCGAUGUCGGAUUAGCUAGUUGGUGGGGUAAAGGCCCACCAAGGCGACGAUCCGUAGCUGGUCUGAGAGGACGACCAGCCACACUGGGACUGAGACACGGCCCAGACUCCUACGGGAGGCAGCAGUGGGGAAUUUUGGACAAUGGGCGCAAGCCUGAUCCAGCCAUGCCGCGUGCGGGAAGAAGGCCU
rnacentral:rRNA from 1 species